AACUAGUAUUAGAGGCACUGCCUGCCCAGUGACAAUCGUUAAACGGCCGCGGUAUCUUGACCGUGCAAAGGUAGCAUAAUCACUUGUUCUCUAAAUAAGGACUUGUAUGAAUGGCCACACGAGGGUUUUACUGUCUCUUACUCUUAAUCAGUGAAAUUGACCUCCCCGUGAAGAGGCGGGGAUAAUGCAAUAAGACGAGAAGACCCUAUGGAGCUUUAAUUAAUCAACUCAAAAAGCAUAAAAUAAUACCACCAAGGGAUAACAAAGCUUUAGAUGAGCUGACAAUUUCGGUUGGGGUGACCUCGGAGUAUAAAAAACCCUCCGAGUGAUUAAAACUUAGGCCUACCAGCCAAAGUAUAGUAUCACUUAUUGAUCCAAAAUUUUGAUCAACGGAACAAGUUACCCUAGGGAUAACAGCGCAAUCCUAUUCUAGAGUCCAUAUCGACAAUAGGGUUUACGACCUCGAUGUUGGAUCAGGACAUCCUAAUGGUGCAGCAGCUAUUAAGGGUUCGUUUGUU
rnacentral:rRNA from 1 species